rnacentral:misc_RNA from 1 species
GGGGAAGGGGGAGUACCUAGGAUUGAAUUCCUACCACAUGCAUUAUAUGGCUGGCACCUGACCACUAAAUUAGUAGCCUGGCAAAUGAGGAAGAUAUAUCUUAUUGCUCAUAGAAUGGAAAAAGCACGAUUUAAAUGGAUCAUGACUAUGAUGAUGUAUUAAUAAAAUCCUUGUUAAGCUAAAUAGGUGAGUUCUGUAGGAUAAUGAUUAGGCUAUGCUUUAUGAAGUUCAUGCUGAUUGGCAUAAGAAAACAUUUAUGCAUAACUGAGAUAAGAAUAUCUAAGAAUGAUGUGGAAGUAUAAUAAUGGACUAGAUAAUGGGAAAAUGGCGUGGCACCUAUUGAGAAUAAGUCAAGGGUGGAUCAAUUAAGAUGGUUUGAUCGUGUCCAACUUGUCUCAACAUGGAAAUAUGAGUAAGUUGAAGUAGUAGGAAUAAAGAAAGACAAGAAAAAGAUUGUUGGAGACUUGCAGUGAAGAAGGCAUUUCUCAUUGGGGUUCUAGUGAGGAUCAGGUCAGACAUAGGUCCUUCCCUGUGCUUUGCAAGGAGUUUCUUCUCUUAUUUUAACCUAUGACCUCCAAGACACGAUGAAGAGAUCUUAUUAAGCAACUCAAAGGGAAAAAAGGAGAGGAGAAGAAAGAAAGAAAC